UUCUUUCACCUCAGCCUCACAAGUAGCUGGGACUAUAGGCGUAUGCCACCAUGUCUGGCUAAUUUCUGUAUUUUUUUUGUAGAGAUGGGGUUUCACCAUGUUGCCCAGGCUGGUCUCAAACUCCUGACCUCAAGUGAUCCUCCUGCCUCGGCCUCCCAAAGUGCUGGGAUUACAGGCUGGGCACAGCGGCUCACAACUGUAAUCCCAGCACUUUGGGAGGCCGAGGCGGGCAAUCACCUGAGGUCAGGAGUUUGAGACCAGCCUGGCCAACAUGAAACCCCAUCUCUACUAAAAAUACAAAAUUAGCCGGCUGGGCAUGGUGGCAGGCACCUGUAGUCCCAGCUACUUGGGAGGCUGAGGCAGGAGAAUCGCUUGAACCUAGGAGGCGGAGGUUGCAAGUGAAGCGAGAUCGCACCACCACACUCCAGCCUGGGAGACAGAGCGAGAUUGUGUCUCGAAAAAAAAAAGUUUCAGGAAUUAUUUUGUGGCCUAACAUGUGGUCUCUCCUUGAGAAGAAUCAUGUGCUGAGGAAAAGAGUGUGUAUUCUGCAGCCAUUAGAUGAAAUGUUCUGUAAAGGUCUGUUAGUUCCAUUUGUUUUGUUUUAUAGUGCAGAUUAAGUCUGAUAUUUCUUUGUUGAUUUUCUGUCUUAUUAACUUUUUGUUGUUGUCUGUUGUUUCUAUUUACAGCUUAUUAUACCAUGUCUUGAAAAGUUGUAGUUAUUUCUCUUGAUAGAUUCAUCUUUUAGUCUUUCUGUUUAAGAUACGAGUAGUUGACACAUCACAAUUAGUGUUAAAAUAUUCUGUAUUUGUCUGUGUACUUGCUGUUACCAAUGAGUUUUGUAUGUUCAGAUGAUUUCUUUUUGUUUGUUAAUGUCCUUUUCUUUCAGAUCAAAGAACUCCCAUUUGCAUUUCUUGUCUGCUGUUGAUGAAAUUUCUUAGGUUUUGUUUGUCUGGGAAAGUCUCUAUUUCUCUGUCAUGUUUGACAUUUUUUCCUUCAGUACUUUAAAUAUGGCAUGCCUCUCUCUCCCUGGCCUGUAAGGUUUCCACUGAGAAGUCUGCUCCUUUGUUUCUUUUUUCUUGCUGCUUCUAGGAUCUUUUCAUUAUCUUUGCCUUUUGGGAAUUUGUUUAUUAAAAUGUCUUACUUGGGCAAAGUCUGCUUGGUGUUCUAUAACCUAUUGUACUUGAGUAUUAAUAUUUUUCUCUAGAUUUGGGAAGUUCUCUGUUGUUAUCCCUUUGAAUAAACUUUCUACCCCAAUCUCUCUCUCUACCUCCUCUUUAAAGCCAAUAACUUACUAGAUUUGCGCUUUUUUUAGACUGUUUUGUAGAUCUUGUAUGUGUGCUUUAUUUUUUUUAAAUUUUGUCUCCUCUGUAUAUUUUCAAUUAGCCUGUCUUCAAGCUCACUAAUUUUUCUUCUGUUUGGUCAGUUCUGCUGUUGAGACUCUGAUGCAUUCUUCAGUAUGUCAUAAACUUUUAGCUCCAUAAUUUCUGCUUUAUUUUUAAAAAAUUAUUUCAAUCUCGGCCGGGUGCGGUGGCUCAUGCCUGUAAUCCCAGCACUUUGGGAGGCCGGAGUGGGCAGAUCACGAGGUCAGGAGUUUGAGACCAGCCUGACCAACAUGGUGAAACCCGUCUCUACUAAAAAUACAAAAAUUAGCCGGGCGUGGUAGCGCCUGCCUGUAAUCCCAGCUACUCAGGAGGCUGAGGCAGGAGAAUCGCUUGAACCUGGGAGGCAGAGGUUGCAGUGAGCCGAGAAAGUACCACUGCACUCCAGCCUGGGCGACAGAGCAAGACUUUGUCUC
rnacentral:lncRNA from 10 species